rnacentral:rRNA from 1 species
CUUGGUCAUUUAGAGGAAGUAAAGUCGUAACAAGGUCUCCGUUGGUGAACCAGCGGAGGGAUCAUUACUGAGUUUACGCUCUAUAACCCUUUGUGAACAUACCUAUAACUGUUGUUUCGGCGGGUAGGGUCUCCGCGACCCUCCCGGCCUCCCGCCUCCGGGCGGGUCGGCGCCCGCCGGAGGAUAACCAAACUCUGAUUUAACGACGUUUCUUCUGAGUGGUACAAGCAAAUAAUCAAAACUUUUAACAACGGAUCUCUUGGUUCUGGCAUCGAUGAAGAACGCAGCGAAAUGCGAUAAGUAAUGUGAAUUGCAGAAUUCAGUGAAUCAUCGAAUCUUUGAACGCACAUUGCGCCCGCCAGCAUUCUGGCGGGCAUGCCUGUUCGAGCGUCAUUUCAACCCUCAAGCUCUGCUUGGUGUUGGGGCCCUACAGCUGAUGUAGGCCCUCAAAGGUAGUGGCGGACCCUCCCGGAGCCUCCUUUGCGUAGUAACUUUACGUCUCGCACUGGGAUCCGGAGGGACUCUUGCCGUAAAACCCCCCAAUUUUCCAAAGGUUGACCUCGGAUCAGGUAGGAAUACCCGCUGAACUUAAGCAUAUCAAUAAGCGGAGGA